UUUAAUGACUGUAAAAAACAAAAAAAAAAACAGUUUUAUGUUUAAUCAGUCACUCCUAGGUGAUAGACCACUAGGUCUGAAGGACUAGUCUGAGAUCAGGUGUUAAAUGCCUGAUAACUAAAUCAUACGAUUGUUAAGCUUGGGCCGGUGUGGUUAGGGUGCAUAAACAAAGUCCUACUAUUUUUUUAUAGUGAUUAUUGUAAGAUUUUGUUAAAACAGACAUACUAACAUCUAGCAUUAACUACUUUUUCUGUCUUACAGAUCACCAUGCACAAAAAAGGGUUCCAUAGGGGACCACUCGUAUAACUCCGGAUAACUCUAGGCCUGCCUCAAGUGCAGCAUCUAAGCCAACGGUAAUGGAAGAUGACUAUGACGAGUUACAGAGAGUGCAAAGCUGAACAUCUCCCCCUCCAAGCUGCAGUUGCAGUCUACACCACCACCACCAUCAUCAUCCUCAGCUGCUGAACUGGGACAGUCUGCUGGAUCAAGAAAAGUGUUCUGGCCAUGUUCCACUAACAAAUGUCUGUUCCAUUGGCAAAUAUACUAACUGUUCAAGGGGCUAUGAAUUGAUUCCCCAACCAUGAUGAACUGAUAUCAGCCACAAUCAGGUGCCAUCUGCUCCCCUCUCCGUACCACCUCCUGACAGCAAGUAACUGCCACCAGUCGAUGCACCAGACCUGCCGGCUCAGAAAACGUGCAUGCCCCUUCCCAAAGAGCUGAUGUUUCUUGUGCCAGAACAAUCAGCUUCCACACAAACUAAGAGACCAGUUUCAACAGACAGCAGCACCGUAGAAAGCUCUCCAGUGUGCAGAACACCUAUUAUUGAGGAAUGCGGCAAAGAUGAAAUUCUCUCAUCUUCAUACAGUGUUCCACAUACAGCCGAUGUAUCACAUGCCAAAGUCUCGCUACGGGAACGAUGGCUCCUCUAUCCACUUUUUUCAUCAGCAAGGCCCCAUCAGAUACUGGCAUCAGAUACAGAGCCUGUGCCCAUCUCAGGCGUCAUCGGGCACCAAGGCCUUAUUAGGAUAUAUUUUUUAUAAAUAUUUUAGAUGUAUUUUGUAUAUAUUUUCAGAUAGAAUUUGUAUUUAUUUUUAGAUAUAUUUUGUCUUUAUUUUAAUGUGUAGUAAAGUUAAUUAGUGUUUAAAGUAUGCAAUAAUAUGUGCUAUUUGUGCUUAUAGUUCACAAAGACGUAUGCAGCAUUUCGUGACAAAUUGCAGCAAUUUUUUCACUCCGUUAAAAAAUGUCAUUCAUUUGCACUGAGUGGGAUUCGACCCGUGUUCCUGACAAACGUUUUAAUACAUUUGAAUUGGCUGUGACAUGAAUUCAGCACCUGGGACAGCAGCAGAAAAGCUUCAAUUUGAUUGGCUGGCACUGAAUGCCAACUAUACAUGUCUUAAAAGUGGUGAAAAUAGCUCUGAACAGGCGGAACACAAUCAGGAAUAUCGGCAGUGUUGCCGGAUUGGGCGGAUUCAAGCCCUAUUGGACUCCUUUUGGCCAUUUCUUACCGAGAAAAAAUGCAUUGAGCUGGUCGAUAAAAAUUUGGAUGCAACUGGCGGGUUUUUAUUUUUGACUACAAACAUGAUAUUUUAUUAAUUUACCAUGAAUAUGUAAUGUUGAGGUUUUAUUGAGUUUAGCCAAUAAGGUUGAGGAGAGUCCUGUCCAAUCAGACUUGAUUGGUGGGUUGUUGUAAUUGUUGUACUCGUUAAGCCAAUAUCAUCAUGUCAAAGUGGGGUAAAUAUAGAAAGUCCUACAGAAAAGAAUGGGAGAGCAACCUGUUCUAUAAUAUUUCAAGAGACGUUCUCAUCAGUUCUGUGAAGAUUCUCUGCAUUAAGUCCUUAUAAAAAAGUAAUUAUACGCUUUUAUUCUGCGAUACAAUUUUGAUGUUAUGUUUGAUAAUUAAACAAAACGUAGACAGGUAGCGUAGUGUGUGUGUGUGUGUGUGUGUGUGUUGCACUAAACCAUUUAUUUUGGGUUUUCUAUUUGUUAUUGGAUAAGUUAUCACAGUAUGCAUGUUGGGCUGGUAUUGUUUGAAAUGGGCGGAGUUUAAGAUGUAAUUGGGCCGGUAUUGUUUGAAAUGGGCGGGGUUUGAGAUGUAAUUGGGCUGGUAUUGUUUGAAAUGGGCGGGGUUUAAGCUAUAGUUGGACUGGAAAUCUUCAGUCCAAUCUGCAACACUGCACAGAACUGCAUCCUCGUCAUUUUAGUCAGGAUCAUUUGUUGCAUGUUAGGUCAUAU